rnacentral:rRNA from 1 species
CCCCCUUGGGACUGAGACCCGGCCCCGACUUCUUCCGAAGGCCGCCGUGGGGGAUUUUGCCCCAUGGGGGAAACCCUGAUGCAGGGACCCCGCGUGAAGGAAGACGGCAUUUGGGUAGUAAACGUUUGUUUUGCGGGAAGAAUAAAGGCCGUUCCCGGAGGAGGAGCUCCGGCUUAAUUCGGUCCCACCACCCGCGUUAUUAGGUAGGUGCCAAGCUUAUUCGGGAUUUAUUGGGUGUAAGGGGAGGGUAGGCGUCGAGCCAAUUUGAAGGUAUAACCCAUGGGUUCACCCGAUAGUUGCGUUCAAAACUGCCACUCUUGAGUGCAGUAGAGGUAGGUGGAAUUCCUAGUGUAGCGGUGAAAUGCGUAGAUAUUAGGAGGAACACCAGUGGCGAAGGCGGCCUACUGGGCGGUCACUGACGCUGAGGCUCGAAAGCGUGGGUAGCAAACAGGAUUAGAUACCCUGGUAGUCCACGCCGUAAACGAUGAUUACUAGGUGUGGGCAGACAGGCCCCUUCCGUGCAGGAGUUAACACAAUAAGUAAUCCACUUGGGGAGUGCGGCCGCAAGGGUGAAACUCAAAGGAUUUGACGGGGGCCCGCGCCAGCAGUGGAGUAUGUGGUGUAAUUUGAAGCAACGAGAAGAUCCUCACCAGGUCUGGACAUCGAGAGAAGAAUUUAGAGAUAAGUUCUUCAUUCGGGACACGAAGACAGGGGGGGCAUGGUUGUCGUCAGUUAGUGUCGAGAGAUGUGGGGUUAAGUCCAGCAAGGAGCGCAAUCGUUAUCAUUGGGGGCUGUGCAAGAGCCCUCCAAUGAGUCAGCCGUGGAUAAAUCGGAGGAAGGUGGGGAUGAUGUCAAAUCAUCAUG